GGCGAUUAAGUGAUUCUUCUUUAUUCCCUUGUCCGCACAAAUGAAUGAUUUGAUACGUUUGUAAUAAUUCAUCUAAAUUAUCCCGUAUCGCAUCAUUCAUUUUCUUUGAUCCUGAGCUACCACCCAUUACUAAGAUUACUGGUUUGGACUUUGUGAAAUUCGUCAUGGACAAUC
rnacentral:ncRNA from 1 species